rnacentral:rRNA from 1 species
AGGACGAACGCUGGCGGCGUGCUUAACACAUGCAAGUGGAGCGACGAACCAGGGCUUGCCCUGGGGCAGAGCCGCGAACGGGUGAGUAACACGUGGGUUACCUGCCUCGAUGACCGGGACAACCCGAGGAAAACUCGGGCUAAUACCGGAUGUGCCCGCAAGGGGAAAGGAAGCUUCGGCCUCCGCAUCGAGAUGGGCCCGCGGCCCAUUAGCUUGUUGGUGAGGUAAAGGCUCACCAAGGCUUCGAUGGGUAGCUGGUCUGAGAGGACGAUCAGCCACACUGGGACUGAGACACGGCCCAGACUCCUACGGGAGGCAGCAGUGGGGAAUCUUGCGCAAUGCGCGAAAGCGUGACGCAGCAACGCCGCGUGGGGGAAGAAGGCUUUCGGGUUGUAAACCCCUUUCAGUUGGGACGAAGCUUCGGCGGUGAAUAGUCGUCUGGAGUGACGGUACCUUCACAAGAAGCACCGGCUAACUACGCGCCAGCAGCCGCGGU